AUUGAACGCUGGCGGCAGGCCUAACACAUGCAAGUCGAACGAGUGGCGGACGGGUGAGUAAUGUCUGGGAAACUGCCCGAUGGAGGGGGAUAACUACUGGAAACGGUAGCUAAUACCGCAUACCAUCGGAUGUGCCCAGAUGGGAUUAGCUAGUGGGUGGGGUAACGGCUCACCUAGGCGACGAUCCCUAGCUGGUAUGAGAGGAUGACCAGCCACAGUGGAACUGAGACACGGGCCAGACUCCUACGGGAGGCAGCAGUGGGGAAUAUUGCACAAUGGGCGCAAGCCUGAUACAGACAUGCCGCGUGUAUGAAGAAGGCCUUCGGGUUGUAAAGUACUUUCAGCGAGGAGGCGUUACUCGCAGAAGAAGCACCGGCUAACUCCGUGCCAGCCGCCGCGGUAAUAC
rnacentral:rRNA from 1 species